rnacentral:lncRNA from 1 species
CAGGCGCCCACCACCAUCAACAUCUUAAACUAUCUUAAAAGAAACUUUAAAAGUUUCAAAUUGUUAGCCUCAGUGGGCUAAAUCAUGAAGCUGCCUUCAUGGGUAAAGCAACUUAGUUCUCUUAAAGACACAGGACCAACAUGCAGGAGACUCAGACAGUUGUAGGUGCCUGAGAGUAACAGCAGCAAGCCAGCAACUCUCCAAAAGCAGUCGCUAAUUAAUAAGUGCAGGCACUCAGAAGCCUCGCUGUCCCCUCUCUGAAGACAGAUGGCAACGGCACCCUGGCCCUUCCUACCUAACUCCAGCUGCUCUUCCAUUUCUCUCAAUAAAGUGAAGAAAUUCCUUUUGAA